GGGGACGUUACGGAUUCGACAGGGGUAGUUUGAGCUCAGGUUGCAUGUCGAGGUUACGGCUCGUAAAACGUUACCCGCCAAUAAUAACUGGCAAACAAAACAAUUUCUCUUUAGCAGCUGCAUAAGCAGUUACUAAAGGAUCCUGCCCAGCAUCGCCCAUGUGCCGGGAUUUUGGGUCUCAACUUAAGUGGGAUACGCUAGCAUCCACCGUCUGCGGACUGCUAGAAGAGCCUAAUCAGACUAGUGACGAGGAGGCCUGUUGGUUGGCAUAAUCGCUCACGAAUUUAAAUGAACCAGCUACACAUGUAGACGCUUGAGUGCCGAUAUCUCUGGACGUGGGUUCGACUCCCACCGUCUCCACCA
rnacentral:tmRNA from 1 species